AUGGCGGAAGAGGAUUGGAUUCCAAUCGGGAUGGAACAGGAAUACUUCCCGUUCAAGCCGCAGACAGAAGAGGAACUUCUAGUCGAGAUGCAACAGGAGGAGUUCCCGUUCCAGCCGCGGACAGCAGAGGAUUUUCUGAUCGAGCUGCAACAAGCGUUCGAGCAGCGGGCAGAAGAGGAUUUUCCUAUCCUGAAGCAACAGGACGAGCGCCCAUUCGAGUUCGAGCUCAUGCCGAUGGAGGAGCUGCCGGAGCUGCUGCCGCAGGACCAGUUCGAUUCUUACAUGGAGCACAUGAUGGAGGGGCUACCCCAGGAUGUUAUCGACAGUUUGCAGCAGGAAUUCCCAGCGCUCUUCGGCCAGGUCGCGGUGGAAAUGCCCCUGUGUCAGCGGGCGGAUCCCGCGGAGGAGCCAUGCCCGCUAAUCUAG
rnacentral:rRNA from 1 species